UGGCCUCCCUCCCUCCCUAGAAGAACUCCUUAUUUGGAAUUGCCCAAUUCUGAAGGAGCGAUGCAGGAAAGGGACUGGCUGCUAUUGGCCCCUCAUCCGCGAAAUCCCAUAUAUUCAAAUACCGUGAACCCUAGCUCUUUCAUCAUCUGUGUCCUUCCCCCGUUGUGGUGUGCACCUCAAUCGCCACCGCUGCUUCGGCUCUCCACUCCGUCGUCGUCCUCACCUCCAUCUCCAUCUCCAUCUCCAUCUCCAUCUCCUGAAUAUAUUUCAAUUAAAACAGAUUCUUUCAAUCUUGCUGGCCUUUCAUAUUACAUUGGAAUUCCCAUUGGUGAAGUUCCCUGGUACUAAGACUAGGAGGAGAAGAUGCUGCUGAAGGGGGGACCCCUGAUGUGAGAUUGCUCCUCAUUGUAGAGACGAAGAGGGGAGAUGCCAUUGCAGGCUCUGCUGUUCUUAACACCUUUGACCUUUUUGUGGAAACUCUUUCCCAUGAUUAGAGUUGGCUCUCAAAUUACUCACGGGGGAUAGAGCAUUCACCAGAAGUUGGAGGAACUCAGUAUUAACUCUCUAUCUGCAUUUACCAAUACAAAGUACUUAUUCCCACACAUGCAAUUCUCUCAUUUUUUAGCAUACUGUGAUGCACAUUGGAAUCUAUGGGGGAAACGGAUUUAUUGCAUCUCAACCCUUCCAUCCAGCAUUUUACUCACCAUCCAAGAUUAGCCCUGGACUCUGUAGUGGCUAGUUGGCAAAAGUUUAAAGAUUACAUUGGAAUUCCAUUGGUGAAGUUUGUUGGUACAACCCAGCAACCUAAAGAAAGGUCUAUAGACCCUUCCUCCACCAUCGCCUCACUGGUAUUAAGUCUAGGAGGAGAAAAUGCUGAAGGGGACCCUAGAUGUGAGAUUGCUCCUCAUUGUAGAGACAAAGGGAAAUGCCACUGCGGGCUCUGUUCUUAAGAUCUUGACUUUUGUGGAAACUUUUCCAUGAUUAGUUGGUUCUCAUAUUACUCAUGGAGAUAGCAUUCACCAGAAGUGGAAGCAACUUGGUAUUAACUUUGUGUCUGCAUUUACCGAUACAAAGUACUUAUUCCCACACAUGCAAUCUUCUCAUUUCUGAGCAUACUGUGGUGCACGUCGAAAUCUAUGGGGGACUGAUUUAUUCCGCCUCAACCCUUCCAUUCCAGCAUUUUACACAGCAUCCGAGAUUAAGGAGUGGUUUAGUCGGUUUGAGUAUAGACACAAGUGAAGGCAUUUUGUGUCCUGGAUAGCACUCAAUGAUAUCUUUGUCCAUUGUUCAUUCUGAUAACUAUUUAUGUUAUGCUUCAUGGAAUCAGAGAUGCAAGCCUUGCAAUCGCAGGUUGGCAAAGUUUAGAGGGUGGGUAUAUUUGUUUCUACUAUUUCUUUUCACAGGCUGUUUGAAAGACAUGGCUAAUGAUCAUGGGGUAUAAUCAGAAUCUGGAAAGAAUCUCUUCUGAAGGAUUAGCAAAUUGUCUGCAUUCUACUUGGUUCAUUUCUAGCAUUGUAUCAAAGCAUGUCAAUGGUUUAAAAUUUCUCAUCUUUUAUGUUUUUUGUUAUCAUCCCCAGCUAUCUCAUUGACAUGAUUACGUCCACAUUCUGUUGUGUGUCUUAAGGGAUCGGUUCUACGCAAGGGGACUGUUGAGUUAUACAUUAUAUGUACAUUUUUUUGGUCAAAUGCGUUAUAUACAUAUUGCUUAGCACCUUGCUUAACAGCUUACGGUGUUUUUAAAAAGGAAUUUGUCUAACAUGUGGCAAUCAAAUCAAACAGCUUGGCCAAUCAUAUGUUCUUGUUUGGUUCUUUCUUCUUGUAAUUGUGGAUUGUCUGGAAGACUUUCAGACAAGGAUUGUAAGCCUCUAUAAAAUUAUUGAAUUACAAAGAGAUAUUAAGCUUGGACAGUUAAAAGCCGCUCAUAUGCCGGCGAACUUCAGCUUAUUGUUUCUGUCUUUCAUAGUCUAUUUGUGUCCACUCUUUUUGUUUCCCCAGAAAGUUUUUGAAAUGGUUGAGCAAAAGUGUAGAGCUUUCCUUUGGAAUGGAGAUCCUUAUGCCAAAGAGGGAGCAAAGCUAGAUGGAACACUGUCUGUCCUAACCAGCUUGGAGGACUUGGCAUUUGAAGAUCGGAUUUGUGAAAUCCUUUUGUAUUUUAAAUUGUCUGUGUAGUAUUUUGUUGAGUUGUGGUCUUAUGUGGUCUUAAGUGUUUUGCCUGGCUCUAUAGCUAUCAUCUUGACUGUAAACCAGAUGCUAGUUAUGCUUGAAAGAAUUUAUUAAAAGUCAGGAACAUUUUGAAAUCCCACAUUAUACAAACAGUGGAUAAUGGAGAUAAUAUUUCUCUUUGGUAUGAAUUCUGGCACCAUGCCGGAAUCAUUCUCGAGGAGAAUGAUUUAUGAAUCUUCUCCUCUUCUCUGCGGGUCAAAGGAUCGGCUGCAAUACGUAACUCUCAUUGGAAAUGCCUGCUGCUAGGUCUGAAGAGUUGGUUCCCAUACAAGCUGCAAUUUGUGAAACAAGGAUGCUGAUGUUGGCUGGGACAAACUUGGGUGGUUCUUCCUAAUGUGCCCAGAUUUGGCUUCUUUAUUUUUGUUUGGGUUAGUAAUAUAUGAUAAACUUCCCGCUGUUAAGAGGAUUUGCAGUUGGUCUGUUGGGAGUACUAGAUCUCUCUCUCUCUCUCUCUUUCUGUGAUCUACACAUUGAAUAUUGCUCUCAUCUGUUUAUUGAGUGUAGCUUCUCCCCAAUCAAUUAUGGAGAAAGGUGCUGCAGCUUUGUUUGAUU